rnacentral:tRNA from 1 species
ACCUACUUAACUCAAUGGUUAGAGUACUGCUUUCAUACGCCAAGGAGUCAUCGGUUCAAAUUUAAUAGUAGGUA